UUUAAAAAAAAAUUAUAUAUAUAUAAUGUUGUUAUCUCACAAUUAUCUUUUAAUAACAAUUAAAAAAAAAAAUACAUCUCUAUAAUAUUAAUCAAAUAAAAUUCUUAAUUUUAUAUCAUUUAAAAGAGAAUAUUGAUUGAUUUUAUAUUUAUUUGUUAAUAAUGAAUAUAGUAUACAAAAAAAAUUUCAAAAAAUUAUAAUACAUAACAAAUUUCAAAUUAAAAUGUAUGUAUUAAUAAGUACCUAUAAAAUGUUAUAUAGAUA
rnacentral:lncRNA from 1 species